rnacentral:rRNA from 1 species
UUAUUAUGAGAGUUUGAUCCUGGCUCAGGACGAACGCUGGCGGCGUGCCUAAUACAUGCAAGUCGAACGCUUCUUUCCUCCCGAGUGCUUGCACUCAAUUGGAAAGAGGAGUGGCGGACGGGUGAGUAACACGUGGGUAACCUACCCAUCAGAGGGGGAUAACACUUGGAAACAGGUGCUAAUACCGCAUAACAGUUUAUGCCGCAUGGCAUAAGAGUGAAAGGCGCUUUCGGGUGUCGCUGAUGGAUGGACCCGCGGUGCAUUAGCUAGUUGGUGAGGUAACGGCUCACCAAGGCCACGAUGCAUAGCCGACCUGAGAGGGUGAUCGGC